GGGCGGGUAGUUCGGUGGGACAACGCUUGCUUGACACGCAAGAGGUGGUUGGUUCAAUUCCAAUCCCGCCCACCA
rnacentral:tRNA from 1 species